UACAGAGGGGGCAAGCGUUGUUCGGAAUUACUGGGCGUAAAGGGCGCGUAAGCGGCCUGCUAAGUCGAACGUGAAAUCCCCGGGCUCAACCCGGGAACUGCGUCCGAUACUGGCAGGCUUGAAUUCGGGAGAGGGAUGCGGAAUUCCGUGAGUGAGCGGUGGAAAUGCGCAGAUAUCGGUGGAAGGGAAACCACCCCGUG
rnacentral:rRNA from 1 species